rfam:Rattus norvegicus chromosome 1, whole genome shotgun sequence.
GGGGAUUUAGCUCAGUGGUAGAGCGUUUGCCUAGCAAGCACAAGGCCCUGGGUUCGGUCCUCGGCUCUG